rnacentral:rRNA from 1 species
AAAAGCCUGGGGUGCCCGCAGGGGAGCCCUAGCACAGGUGCUGCAUGGCCGUCGUCAGCUCGUGCCGUGAGGUGUUGGGUUAAGUCCCGCAACGAGCGCAACCCCCGCCGUUAGUUGCCAGCGGUUCGGCCGGGCACUCUAACGGGACUGCCCGCGAAAGCGGGAGGAAGGAGGGGACGACGUCUGGUCAGCAUGGCCCUUACGGCCUGGGCGACACACGUGCUACAAUGCCCACUACAAAGCGAUGCCACCCGGCAACGGGGAGCUAAUCGCAAAAAGGUGGGCCCAGUUCGGAUUGGGGUCUGCAACCCGACCCCAUGAAGCCGGAAUCGCUAGUAAUCGCGGAUCAGCCAUGCCGCGGUGAAUACGUUCCCGGGCCUU